UACGGAGGGGGCUAGCGUUGUUCGGAAUUACUGGGCGUAAAGCGCACGUAGGCGGUGGUGCAUGUCAGAUGUGAAAGCCCUGGGCUUAACCUAGGAAUUGCAUUUGAAACUGCGCCGCUAGAGACCGGAAGAGGGUAGUGGAAUUCCCAGUGUAGAGGUGAAAUUCGUAGAUAUUGGGAAGAACACCAGUGGCGAAGGCGGCUACCUGGUCCGGUACGUGACGCUGAGGUGGCGAAAGCGUGGGGAG
rnacentral:rRNA from 1 species